rnacentral:rRNA from 1 species
GGGGGGUAUGCCUACCAGGCUUGACNUYUAGCGGAUGRRRAUUGACCNCHAAMCUGGGACUGASACACUGCCCAGACUUCUACGGAAGGCUGCAGUCGAGAAUCUUUCGCAAUGGACGAAAGUCUGACGAAGCGACGCCGCGUGUGUGAUGAAGGCUCUAGGGUUGUAAAGCACUUUCGCUUGGGAAUAAGAGAGAUUGGCUAAUAUCCAAUCGAUUUGAGCGUACCAGGUAAAGAAGCACCGGCUAACUCCGUGCCAGCAGCUGCGGUAAUACGGAGGGUGCUAGCGUUAAUCGGAUUUAUUGGGCGUAAAGGGCGUGUAGGCGGAAAGGAAAGUUAGAUGUUAAAUCUUGGGGCUCAACCCCAAGCCAGCAUCUAAUACUAUCUUUCUAGAGGGUAGAUGGAGAAAAGGGAAUUCCACGUGUAGCGGUGAAAUGCGUAGAUAUGUGGAAGAACACCAGUGGCGAAGGCGCUUUUCUAAUUUACACCUGACGCUAAGGCGCGAAAGCAAGGGGAGCAAACAGGAUUAGAUACCCUGGUAGUCCUUGCCGUAAACGAUGCAUACUUGAUGUGGAUAGUCUCAACCCUAUCCGUGUCGUAGCUAACGCGUUAAGUAUGCCGCCUGAGGAGUACACUCGCAAGGGUGAAACUCAAAAGAAUUGACGGGGGCCCGCACAAGCAGUGGAGCAUGUGGUUUAAUUCGAUGCAACGCGAAGAACCUUACCUGGGCUUGACAUGUAUUUGACCGCGGCAGAAAUGUCGUUUUCCGCAAGGACAGAUACACAGGUGCUGCAUGGCUGUCGUCAGCUCGUGCCGUGAGGUGUUGGGUUAAGUCCCGCAACGAGCGCAACCCUUAUCGUUAGUUGCCAACACUUAGGGUGGGAACUCUAACGAGACUGCCUGGGUUAACCAGGAGGAAGGCGAGGAUGACGUCAAGUCAGCAUGGCCCUUAUGCCCAGGGCUACACMGUGCUACAUGGCCAGUACGAAGGUAGCAUWUCG